UUGGAGAUCCACAAAAUCUACUCACAUAGAUUUCCAAAAGGCUGGAACAGAAAAGGUACAAAGACAUUAUGAGCUACUUGAACUUUUAACAUGUUCAACCCAUGAUCCAGAUCAAACAUUUUUUUAAACUUGAUUAAUAUAUUUUGCCAUUAACAGGAGCAAGAGAAACUAAAUCUGUUCAAACAGAUGACAUAUCCUCUCUCCCCAUCGAGGCUCCGUGCCAAUUUGAACUAGUCUAUGCCUGUUCACUCCAGCAUCCGAAGUUGGAGAAGCAGAAGAGUUUGAGCUGGGAGUCCUUUGCAAUUGGCUUCCCAGACAGAAGUGACACAGCAGACCUGUUAGUGGAUGACAGAGGAUCAUACGAUAAUGAACAUUUUGCUGACGAUGGAGAGCUGCAUGGUGAUUAUGACAAGGAGGAUCCACAACUUUAGGGUGAGGAGUAUUGCCUUGCAGAGGAGGCAGCGAGUUCCCUCAAGGCUUCAGAAGGAGUGCAAACAGAGCCAUUUGAAAGCCAGGUCCGGUACACUCUGGAUGACUUUCAGAAUACAGAACGUGCCAACAUGGCCCUCAAAUCCCCUCCCAGGACCAAGCACCUCUACACAUUCAAAGAAACCAUCCAGAACCUACACAGUGGGAAGCCUGCCUAUGCCAGCCAUAGCCAAAGCCUGAGAAAAAGCCCUCCUAAAUACAUCAAGAGCCAGGCCAGGGUGGAGAACCUGGGGUCUAGGGCGUAUGAGCCCUCCUUCACUCUACCAGCAGAGAAGUGCCAAAGGCGUGACACCAUGGACCCUCAACCCGGAAGAUGGCGUAGUCCGCAGCAAGAAGAGUAUCUUGAUGAAAGAGCUUUUUGGCCAGGCCCUAAUCACUGAUCCAAAUGGCCAUGCAGACAGGCAGAUCCAGAGUUCAAAGCACAGACCUGGACAGAACGUCCUCUUACCAUACAGGAGACGCUAGCCCGGUCUCACCUGGGAGACCAAGAUCAUUUUUUAUUGACCCAAGAAGUAUACAAAAUUAUAAUAUAUUUGUAUUAUUUGAUAAAUUAUUAUUUAUCUGCCAUGGCAACUCAACACAUUACUAAAUGGAGUAUUUGUAUUCUGACACUAUUGCUCAUGACAAAUUCCUUAACUCCCUUGAAAUCAGAUUGUAAUAAAAGCAACAUUCAAUGAAGAUGCCACCUAUGCCACAAUGGUACACUUAGUUUUUUUUAUAAAAGCCUCUCUAAAAUACCCAAGAUGCUAAGAACAACCAACACUUUAGGCCUUCAGUUUUCAAAUUCUUUAUUGU